AAGACGAGGAUAACAAUUGGAAACAGUUGCUAAGACUGGAUAGGAAAUUAAAAGGCAUCUUUUAAUUUUUAAAAGACCUUUUUCGGAAGGUAUGCUUAAAGAGGGGCUUGCGCCACAUUAGUUAGUUGGUAAGGUAAAGGCUUACCAAGACGAUGAUGUGUAGCUGGACUGAGAGGUUGAACAGCCACAUUGGGACUGAGACACGGCCCAAACUCCUACGGGAGGCAGCAGUAAGGAAUUUUUGGCAAUGGAGGAAACUCUGACCGAGCGACGCCGCGUGAACAAUGAAGUACUUCGGUAUGUAAAGUUCUUUUAUUGAAAAAGAAAAAAUAGUGGAAAAACUAUCUUGACAUUAUUCAAUGAAUAAGCCCCGGCUAAUUAUGUGCCAGCAGCCGCGGUAAUACAUAAGGGGCGAGCGUUAUCCGGAAUUAUUGGGCGUAAAGGGUGCGUAGGCGGUUUGAUAAGUCUAUAGUUUAAUUGCAGUGCUUAACGCUGUACCGCUAUAGAAACUGUCUGACUAGAGUUAGAUAGAGGCAAGCGGAAUUCCAUGUGUAGCGGUAAAAUGCGUAAAUAUAUGGAGGAACACCAGAGGCGUAGGCGGCUUGCUGGGUCUUAACUGACGCUGAGGCACGAAAGCGUGGGGAGCAAACAGGAUUAGAUACCCUGGUAGUCCACGCCGUAAACGAUGAGUACUAAGUGUCGGGUUUUGGCUCGGUACUGAAGUUAACACAUUAAGUACUCCGCCUGAGUAGUACGUACGCAAGUAUGAAACUUAAAGGAAUUGACGGGACCCCGCACAAGCGGUGGAUCAUGUUGUUUAAUUCGAAGAUACACGAAAAACCUUACCAGGUCUUGACAUAAUUUUGCGACAUUAUAGAAAUAUAAUGAAGGUUAUCAGAAUUACAGGUGGUGCAUGGUUGUCGUCAGCUCGUGUCGUGAGAUGUUAGGUUAAGUCCUAAAACGAGCGCAACCCUUGUCGUUAGUUGCGACCACAUAAUGGUGAGCACUUUAGCGAGACUGCCAAUGAAAAAUUGGAGGAAGGUGAGGAUUACGUCAAAUCAUCAUGCCCCUUAUGAUCUGGGCUACAAACGUGAUACAAUGGCUUUUACAAAGAGUAGCUACAACGUGAGUUUUUAGCCAAUCUCAAAAAAACAGUCUCAGUUCGGAUUGAAGUCUGCAACUCGACUUCAUGAAGUUGGAAUCGCUAGUAAUCGCGAAUCAGCAUGUCGCGGUGAAUACGUUCUCGGGGUUUGUACACACCGCCCGUCAAACCACGAAAGUUGAUAAUACCCAAAACCGGUCGCCUAACUUCGUCAGAAGAGGGAGCCGUCUAAGGUAGGGUCGAUGAUUGGGGUUAAGUCGUAACAAGGUAUCC
rnacentral:rRNA from 1 species